UACGGGGGGGGCAAGCGUUGUUCGGAAUUACUGGGCGUAAAGGGCUCGUAGGCGGCCAACUAAGUCGGAUGUGAAAUCCCCAGGCUUAACCUGGGAACUGCAUCCGAUACUGGAUGGCUUGAAUCCGGGAGAGGGAUGCGGAAUUCCAGGUGUAGCGGUGAAAUGCGUAGAUAUCUGGAGGAAUACCGGUGGCGAAGGCGGCAUCCUGGACCGGCAUUGACGCUGAGGAGCGAAAGCUAGGGGAGCAAACGGG
rnacentral:rRNA from 1 species